rnacentral:tRNA from 1 species
GCCAGUCUGGCUUAGUGGUCUGAGUGUUGGACUGUGACUCUGGAGACCAGGGUUCGAUUCCCAGGUCAGCCA